ensembl:processed_transcript
UAAAGUAUUUUCUAAUUUUUUAAUUGACAAUGCUAAAAAAAUGCCAUUUUUUAAAAAUUGAUUUCAGAUAAAAAUGAUGCAACGGCCUGCAUUUUAUUAGAACUACAGUUUUUUUGCCACGUUUUUUCUUUAACAAUACGUAGUUACUCCUUAUAUAUUACCUCCAAUUAGAUUUUUUUUCUUCCUGAGAUGCUGGAUGACAUCUCAUUUUUUUUACGAGGCAGCAAAUGGAAGAUUUGACACUUCUGUCUCUGGAAAUGGUGUUGUUAAAGGAAAUGGAGGUAUUAGCGCGUUUUCACCUGAGGUGUCGUAGCUCAACUUUGAUCUACUGUAUAUCAAGCUCCUACGUCAAGAAAGAGUCUAAAUGGGGCAGUUUGGCCACAUGUCACAAUAGAAAACCAGGUCUAUUUAGAUGCAAGAUAGAUGUCAGAGUGCUAGAUGUGCUAGUCCUCUUCUGCUUGACUGGCCUUCCUCCAUGUAGUUCUCUGUCUAUGGACACACACACACACACGCAAAAAAACAACAAUGUGAAGGAAGAGACAACUGCACACAGGUAAGCGAGGAGAACAGUUUGCUGAAGAUUGUCAACAUAGGCUCUGUUAGUCUUCUUCCGUCUCUUUCUGAAGCAACACGCCUUGCUGUGGCUGGUCAAAUGGAACCAAGUCAGGUGUUUCUGCGAGGUUUGGUCCCCUUCAACCAGCUACUGCGUCGUGAAUACAGCCUACAUAUAGACCAAAGAUUAAAAGAGAGUAUACAUCUGCUUAAAAUGCUCUAACACUGUCUUUUUUGAAAAAUAAAAUAAUGUUCAAUAAACUAUUUUACUGCUGCAA